GCGAAAGUGGUGGAAGUGGUAGACACGCCAGAUUUAGGAUCUGGUACCGCAAGGUGUGGGGGUUCGAGUCCCCCCUUUCGCACCA
rnacentral:tRNA from 2 species